UAAAGAAUUUCGGUAUGGGAUGGGGAUGCGUUCCAUUAGUUAGUUGGCGGGGUAACGGCCCACCAAGACAACGAUGGAUAGGGGUUCUGAGAGGAAGGUCCCCCACAUUGGAACUGAGACACGGUCCAAACUCCUACGGGAGGCAGCAGUGAGGAAUAUUGGUCAAUGGACGAGAGUCUGAACCAGCCAAGUAGCGUGAAGGAUGACUGCCCUAUGGGUUGUAAACUUCUUUUAUAUGGGAAUAAAAUGUUCCACGUGUGGGAUUUUGUAUGUACCAUAUGAAUAAGGAUCGGCUAACUCCGUGCCAGCAGCCGCGGUAAUACGGAGGAUUCGAGCGUUAUCCGGAUUUAUUGGGUUUAAAGGGAGCGUAGGUGGAUUGUUAAGUCAGUUGUGAAAGUUUGCGGCUCAACCGUAAAAUUGCAGUUGAAACUGGCAGUCUUGAGUACAGUAGAGGUGGGCGGAAUUCGUGGUGUAGCGGUGAAAUGCUUAGAUAUCACGAAGAACUCCGAUUGCGAAGGCAGCUCACUGGACUGCAACUGACACUGAGGCUCGAAAGUGUGGGUAUCAAACAGGAUUAGAUACCCUGGUAGUCCACACAG
rnacentral:rRNA from 1 species